rnacentral:lncRNA from 1 species
GGUCUCACCUUGUUGCCCAAGCUGGAGUGCAGUUGCCUGAUAUCAGCUCACUGCAACCUCCACCUCCCAGGCUCAAGCUAUCCUCCUGCCUCAGCCUUCCAAGUAGCUGGGACCACAGGUGUGCACCAUCACGCCCAGAUGGAGUGUCGCUCUCUCACCCAGGCUGGAGUGCAGUGGCGCUAUCUUGGCUCACUGCAACAUCUGCUUCCCAGGUUCAAGUGAUUAUCCUGCCUCAGCCUCCCAAGUUGCUGGGAUUACAGGCGUGUGCCACCACGCCUGGCUAAUUUACUAAACUAAUAAAUUACUAAAUUAGUAAGUUACUAGUAAAUUAGUAAUUACUAAAAUAUAAUUUUUAGUAGAGAUGGGAUUUCAUCAUGUUGGCCAGGCUGGUCAUGAACUCCUGACCUCAAUGGAUCCUCCUGCCUCAGCUUCCUGAGUAGCUGGGACCACAGGUGCACACCACCACGCCCAGGUAAUUAAUUUUUAUUUUUUGUAGAGUCGGGGGUCUCCCUAUGUUUCCCAGGCUGGC